rnacentral:lncRNA from 1 species
GUGGCAAAAUUACUAGAUGGGGGAUGCAUAACUCAAUAUACUUUGCUGGUGGCAUCUUGCUUAGGUGGAAUGAAGCUAGGUUUAAGUCCUUAAGACAUGAAAUUAUAUCACCUUUCUAUCACUAUUCAUUAUCUAUAUAGACUUCUCAACAUCACUUGGACCUUUGCCAUCAUUAAUGGGCCUACAAAAUAUGAUCCAAUCUUUUUUGGAGGGAGUUGAGACAUCAGAGCUUUGUUCAGUGGACUAUGGAUCAUAGGAGAAGACUUUAAUGCAACUAAUAAAAUCCAUAAGAGGAAUGGGUCACCAUAAUCAAAUAA